rnacentral:rRNA from 1 species
GUACACGCUGUGACUAGCAUAUCAAUAAGCGGAGGAAAAGAAACUAACAAGGAUUCCCCUAGUAACGGCGAGUGAAGCGGGAAGAGCUCAAAUUUGAAAUCUUAAAGGGCUUCCCUUUACGAAUUGUAGUUUAAAGAAGUGUUUUCUGUUGAGGUUUUGGUAAAAGUUCUUUGGAAUAGGACAUCAUGGAGGGUGAGAAUCCCGUAUUUGACCUUUACUUUCAACUUUGUGAUACACUUUCAAAGAGUCGGAUUGUUUGGGAAUGCAGUCCAAAAUGGGUGGUAAAUUUCAUCUAAAGCUAAAUAUUGGCGGAGAGACCGAUAGCGAACUAGUACCGUGAGGGAAAGAUGAAAAGAACUUUGAAAAGAGAGUUAAACAGUACGUGAAAUUGUCAAAAGGGAAGCGUUUGACACCAGUGUUGUUUUUCUGAAAAUCAAUUAAAGAACUGUUUAUGCUAAGCUGUUUAGACUUUAUCAGCUAUCUGUUUAGUUUUGAGCUUUUCUUUAAUGCACUUUUCAGUUAACAAGUCAACAUCAAUUUCUUUUGCUGUAAAAAAGCUUGAGGAAGGUGGCUUGAGAUUCGUCUUAAGUGUUUAUAGCCUCUUGCCUAUGCAGUCGGAGAGAUUGAGGUCUGCAGCGUAGAUCCUUCGGGGCUAAAUGCAUUUGUGCUAAGUUAUAGCAUUUUAUAGACAACUUGUUGACUAUGACUUGUCUUGUAGCUUACUCGCUUAUGUUAUUUUACCUACGCUUAGGAUGUUGAUAUGCAUGACUGAUAU